rnacentral:rRNA from 1 species
GGUCCAUGGGCGAGCCUGACGGAGCAUACCGCGUGAGGGAAGACUGCCUAUGGGUUGUAAACCUCUUUUUUCAGGGAGGAAUUCAUGGACUUUACCUGAAGAAUAAGCAUCGGCUAACUCCGUGCCAGCAGCCGCGGUAAGACGGAGGAUGCAAGUGUUAUCCGGAAUCACUGGGCGUAAAGCGUCUGUAGGUGGCUUAACAAGUCAACUGUUAAAUCUUGAAGCUCAACUUCAAAAUCGCAGUCGAAACUGUUAGACUAGAGUAUAGUAGGGGUAAAGGGAAUUUCCAGUGGAGCGGUGAAAUGCGUAGAUAUUGGAAAGAACACCGAUGGCGAAAGCACUUUACUGGGCUAUUACUGACACUCAGAGACGAAAGCUAGGGUAGCAAAUGGGAUUAGAUACCCCAGUAGUCCUAGCCGUAAACAAUGGAUACUAGAUGUUGAACAGAUCGACCUGUUCAGUAUCAAAGCUAACGCGUUAAGUAUCCCGCCUGGGAAGUAUGCUCGCAAGAGUGAAACUCAAAGGAAAUUGACGGA